CGGGAUGUAGCGCAGCUUGGUAGCGCGUAUCGUUCGGGACGAUAAAGUCGCAGGUUCAAAUCCUGUCAUCCCGACCA
rnacentral:tRNA from 1 species